AUUGAACGCUGGCGGAAUGCUUUACACAUGCAAGUCGAACGGCAGCACGGACUUCGGUCUGGUGGCGAGUGGCGAACGGGUGAGUAAUGUAUCGGAACGUGCCCAGUCGUGGGGGAUAACGUAGUGAAAAUUACGCUAAUACCGCAUACGAUCUAUGGAUGAAAGCGGGGGAUCGCAAGACCUCGCGCGAUUGGAGCGGCCGACAUCAGAUUAGGUAGUUGGUGGAGUAAAGGCCCACCAAGCCAACGAUCUGUAGCUGGUCUGAGAGGACGACCAGCCACACUGGAACUGAGACACGGUCCAGACUCCUACGGGAGGCAGCAGUGGGGAAUUUUGGACAAUGGGCGAAAGCCUGAUCCAGCCAUUCCGCGUGCAGGAUGAAGGCCCUCGGGUUGUAAACUGCUUUUGUACAGAACGAAAAGGUUUCUACUAAUACUAGGAGCUCAUGACGGUACUGUAAGAAUAAGCACCGGCUAACUACGUGCCAGCCGCCGCCGCAG
rnacentral:rRNA from 1 species